UGACCCUACGGGAGGCAGCAGUGGGGGAUAUUGCACAAUGGGGGAAACCCUGAUGCAGCGACGCCGCGUGAGUGAAGAAGUAUUUCGGUAUGUAAAGCUCUAUCGGCAGGGAAGAAAAAAAUGACAGUACCUGACUAAGAAGCCCCGGCUAACUACGUGCCAGCAGCCGCGGUAAUACGUAGGGGGCAAGCGUUAUCCGGAUUUACUGGGUGUAAAGGGAGCGUAGGCGGCCAUGCAAGUCAGAAGUGAAAACCCGGGGCCCAACCCCGGUACUGCAUUUGAAACUGUCCGGCUGGAGUGCAGGG
rnacentral:rRNA from 1 species